AUGCAGCAAAACAACCCCAAAAUCUGCUGUAAAACCAUCCUACAAAACAAUCCUAAAACUGUUAUAAAAAUGCAGCAAAUCAGUCCAAAAAACAGCAACCUGCAAUGGUCCAAAACAGGCCAAAACAACUAUGAAAUUGCAAACAAAUUUGCUGUAAAUCAGUCUGCUACAGCCUACUACCCUGCAUCAAAAUAG